GUGGCUAUUGGGUUCGCAAACAAGCAAAUAGUCCAGGCUGCUCAGGUUACUUCAGAGGAAAAAUGAAGAUCAAGAAGAUACAGAUGGAAGCAGAAGGAAGCCAGCCUUCUGCCUUGGUGGGAAAAGGAAGAAAGAAAUUGUCAUGCAGAAGUCAGAAGUCUUCUGGGAAGGAGUCAACCCCAACCCUCCACCAUCACUGAGUAGGAAGAGAACACGAACAGUUUGGAGAACCUGUUAAUUGAUCUCCAGAUGAUCUUGAGAGGGAUGAACUUUGUGGAAUCCUGACCCAUUACACCAAAAAGGAUUUGAACCACAGGCCUAGAAUGCUCCAGCAGAAGAUCAGACAGGGCACAGACUAGGAUACGUGCUCUCUCAGACAGAAGUGCUGCAUCAGGAGCACUGAGUGUGCAAAGCAAAUGAACUACCAUUGCAUCUCAUCCCUCUAACCAUAGCAAUUUUGGGCUGCAUUUUCUUCCUUUGGUUUGGUUUACUAUUUGUGAAUAGGCCUUGGUUUUGCCGAGCCUCUGACCCAGAAAUAGUGCUUCUGGGUCUGAUUGCCUUUUCUUCUCUGACAGCACCCUUUCGAGAACUGUGGAGGGGCAAAGAAUGCCACCGACAACUUGAACACAGCAUUCUCUGCGCUAGGAUCAAAGCCUCCUCAGAAAAAGAUACCUCCUUUUUUUAUUGGA